rnacentral:rRNA from 1 species
GCCCUUUCCGUAGGUGAACCUGCGGAGGGAUCAUUACUGAGUUUACGCUCUAUAACCCUUUGUGAACAUACCUAUAACUGUUGCUUCGGCGGGUAGGGUCUCCGUGACCCUCCCGGCCUCCCGCCCCCGGGCGGGUCGGCGCCCGCCGGAGGAUAACCAAACUCUGAUUUAACGACGUUUCUUCUGAGUGGUACAAGCAAAUAAUCAAAACUUUUAACAACGGAUCUCUUGGUUCUGGCAUCGAUGAAGAACGCAGCGAAAUGCGAUAAGUAAUGUGAAUUGCAGAAUUCAGUGAAUCAUCGAAUCUUUGAACGCACAUUGCGCCCGCCAGCAUUCUGGCGGGCAUGCCUGUUCGAGCGUCAUUUCAACCCUCAAGCUCUGCUUGGUGUUGGGGCCCUACAGCUGAUGUAGGCCCUCAAAGGUAGUGGCGGACCCUCCCGGAGCCUCCUUUGCGUAGUAACUUUACGUCUCGCACUGGGAUCCGGAGGGACUCUUGCCGUAAAACCCCCAAUUUUCCAAAGGUUGACCUCGGAUCAGGUAGGAAUACCCGCUGAACUUAAGCAUAUCAAUAAGCGGAGG